rnacentral:tRNA from 1 species
AAGAAAUUAGUUUAAAAAAAUAUUAGUUUGUCAAAUUAAAGAAAGGAAAAUUCCCC